UGGUGAAAUGAAGUAGGCAGCAAAGC
rnacentral:piRNA from 1 species